rnacentral:lncRNA from 15 species
AUGAUUCUCCCUCCUCCUUCCUUUCAUUCAACACUACAGCCUUCCAAUGCGCCGCAAUCCUCACGUACUUUUGACGCACGCAUUGGAAACUUCUCCAGGACACGACUCCGUCCACACACUCACACACGCACACGCGAACACGCACCAGUCAAAAAGUGGGGAAGCGCUAAUGUAGGUGCGUGCGAGUGUGUGUGUGUGUGUGUGUGUGUGUGUAUAUUUGUGUGUUUGAACAAUAAGUACGCACCGCAGAAUUCAUUUCAGCUCGCCGCGAUCUGCCACGCAACGAAAGUGGAAAGGAUGGGUGAAGAUAUACAUGAAAGGGGGGGAGCAUGCAGCAAAGAGUCACAGGUUGGAAUCAUUGCCUACGUGGGACGCAUGCUUUACCAGCUCACAACCCAGGAGACAGCAGCCGCAACCUUGGUGGUCCCAAGUGCCGCCUGUCUGUAA